rnacentral:lncRNA from 1 species
UUAUUAUCAGUCGGUUAAUCAAUAUUAUACUCUGCAGAGUGUAGACCGUGUGGUACAGUGGCGGCAAAUCCUCCCCACCUUGAGACGAUUGAUGAUGAGUCUGAGGAGAUAGCGCGAACCAGAUAGAGAUGGAGGGUUACAACUCGCUACGCCGAAGUACACUGACCGGUUGACCUUUGACCCAAAGCCCCAAACCAUAGAUAGACUGACAGAACAAGGGAGGUGAGUGGUGAAGGCGAAGAGAACGAGAUGGAACGGUCUGGGAGCUUGGAUCUGCCUUGGGUUAGGGCCGUGCGACGGUGGGCGGGAUGUCAUUGGCCGGAACUGUUAUCAACGAUUACUUCCUGUGCUUCUGGGUUAUCACUCCGUAGUAUAGCUAACUAUACUUUAACUGGACGCUGUGGAUAUUUAUUUGAAUGCAGAAUUCUCAAUGAAUUGUCCAUGGAAUACCUAUGGCAAUCAUAGAAUCAUCAGACCAUCGCUUGCUCAACAAUCAAUGAGUCAGGGUGAUAAAUCGAAUCGCCUCAUACAAUAUCAGCGAUGCAGCCACUGAGAUGGUGGGGAUCCACACAGGAAAACUUUGACAGUCUACUAAGUCCAGCUCAGGCCUGGUCAUGUAUAACCCGAGCGUUCUGUACGUACAUGAUACUUACACGGUACACUCCUUACACAGUAUUAAUAUUAACACCGUCUCUGCGCGAGUUGCACCAUUGCUGCUCUUUGUAACGUUACCUGGAUUGUUGUCUACCUCGUCGCUUGUCUUGACUCUCUGAUCGAUACCGUGUAUUGAAUCGUGGUGUACGACGUUGUACUUAGUAUAUUACAUAAUGGUACCAUGGAUACAUACGGCCCAGCCCACUCCGAAACAUGCCAUCCAACGCCAUCAUUGACUGGCCUGACACUUCGCCGCGCAAAAUUCUACUUCCAAUUACGUAUCUUCAGAUCGAAUGUGGAAAGAAUUAACAAUGAUAAUAUUAAUACUAAGAAUAAAUAACAUCCAACGCCACAUCCCAACAGGCGGCAGAGCGACACAGACGGUUAUCACGCCACUGACGGACUGUCUGUGUAUGGACGUAUUACAGAGUACGUACUUCGUUAAGGAAAUGCAGCGGGAACGUGAAAACCUGCAUCCUGAGAACAGCCUAUCCGGAAGUGGGUAAUAGAUAUGAUAGACGACCGACGAAGAUAAAGGCUGAGCCGAGCCCCCACUGCAUAUUCGCCACCACAGGCUCCCAACGGUUAUGUUAUCGUUGACACCACAAGUUGUGUGCAUACGCCGAUAACGCAAUACACGUGCUGGAUUUGAAGCUCAAGAGAGUUACAAAUACUUAUCCAACCGUAAUUGUAGUAAAAGUGAAGAUAAAUUUUUGCCUCUUUUUUUCUGGAUCCAUUCUUUUUUUUCCCCCAUCCUUCUCACCGAACCCGAUCAUCAUGAUCAUGACAUGAUGACGCGAUCAGAGCAUAGAAACCCUGGAAUUUGGAAUUUGUCGCUUGCUGACGCGUCCGUCCAUCCCUACAUCGCAAUUUAGAGACCACGGACAGCCGUAGGAGGCAGUGGCUGGUGAGCUAACGAACGAUCGACUAAAUUAGUGUCAUCUGUCCAAUUCACGACGGAACUCUCACCAGCACUAGGACGGGGUAAAGGGAGUCUCCAACAUGGACUCCGUACUCCACGAACGCUUGAAGCCACUCUCUGGUUUCAAUUUCUUGUCGGAGCGCCCCCGAACCUGAAAGAACAAUGAAGCCCAAGUCGCAACCAGGAUGCACUGCUUGUCAGAGUUUUGCUUCUCCAUCCCCCCGUGGAGUACAGUACUCUAGUCGUUCCUGGCAUCGCUUUUGGGUAAAUGGUUCUGAUUACGUACGAAAUUUUGAUUCUAACUUUUUUUUUCCCUCGCCUUUUUGUGUCGACGGAUCGUCCCGUGUAUUGUGUCCAUCGGCUGAUUGAUAUUCCCCAUUCAUUCAAUCAAUCAUUCCAUACAUGACACGGUUUACGGAGUACGGGGCAUACCACCACCACACUCUCCCCAGUUACUCGACAUGCAUAUAGAAAAUCACAGUAGAAGAUCAUGAAGAAUAAGUCCUUCGCACCAAAUUUCCAAGGCACGAAUUAAUUCGCGGCAGGAUGCUAAUGACGUCAUGGCGAGCACAGCAUGUAAAAUUUCAGGGUCUAGACCUUGUCUAUCGAUACGUCCUCUGCUGCUAAGUAGAUAGAUAGUAGUAGAUACUACAUACAUACUAUGUAUGUACGAUAUGUAUGUAGUAAACGGGGUCCGGAGUCCUCCGUUAGUGUACUAUCGAUUGGCGGAUACAAAUAUAUAUUACGUUUCAGGAAGGGAAGAGACAUGCAAUAUUACAACAAUCUACUGCGUAAGAUGGUAUUAAUAAAAACUCUGAAUAGCGUCAAAUUUUUCGUUUCGCUCUCUUUUCUUUUCUUUUUUUUUUUCUUUUUCUUUUUGGUUUGCCAUUUCCUGGUGCUCGGAUCACAGAUACACGUGUAUUAGUAUUAGUACUCUAUACGUAUCAGGUAAUGCUCCGAUACAUUAUCAAUACCAUUAGCUGUACCCACCCGCGGAGAUACAUCGAGAUUCAGUGGACUAUGGGAGGGCUUGGCGGGCGUCUAGGGGAGUCGGGACUGCGGCCGUCGGCUACCAAUCUUCCGAGAUGGAGCCAAUCAAACCCUCUCUCCUGUAGAUAUGUUUUCUACUAUGUAGUAUGUAUAGUUACUUAGUUAGGAGAAAAUUUUCCAUCUGAUGUGAAUCUAAAUCAAGGAAUUGUGCAUGUCUGCAGUUUGAUUCUCGUUUAAUUAAUUCUCAGGGAUCAGACACGGCUGUGAAUACUCCGGAGCUAGGUUUGGGCUGUGGAGCUUCUGCAGUGGCAUACAUACUACGUAGGGCUGUGUGUGUGUGUGUGUGUGCAUUAGAGCUAUGUAUGUGCUUGUCACCUGCCACUAUUCGCAAGAUCUAGACACUGCAUGGAUUUACAUAGUAGGACGAUUUGAGCAAGUCUGAUGUUUCUCUUCUUUCCUUUCUAGUCUUCACGACACGGAGAAGGAGAAGAAAAUGCGAUGUCCUGGAGAACAACAAUAAUCGUAUCGAUUGACAAAUACUCCAUACACAUACACAAUUCAUUAUUAAUAAACUUCGUGUAACAACAGCAGCAAAACAACCCUAGUGGCUGUGUAUAUUUUUUGUCUGUCUUAGACGUACUCGUAGUACGCUGAACAUUCCAUCCCUGCAAAAGCAAAGACAAAGCAAACGCCAAAACGUCAAAGAUCGUCUCCAGCUAAAUCGAAUCUGUUUCCGGUAAGAAUUAACGUUCGAUAGACUCGCGAUAAACAUGGCGAUAAAACAUCAAAGACAAAUCUAGAUCAUCGAUCUUUUUUUUUCUCUUUAUUAAAUUAUUACACUAAGGAAUGGAUUCGAUAUACCGCAAGCAGUAAGAAAAUGGAACCUGCCCGAUCAAAACUCACCGUCCAUGGAAUCGCCAUAUCCGCACUGGCCCAUGGAUGCCCCUACCACCCACUGACCAACCGUCUGGAGUACGUACGUACUUCAAUAUUCUCGGAGGUGAUAUACUCCCCGCCUCCGGAAGUGAACUUUCUCGCCUGGCCAGUGGCCACUGGAGGGAAAGAUAACCUUAUUCUUCUCUUCAUCCAAUCCAUCCAUUGAAUGGCACAUCUCCUUGCUUCAAGGGUCCUCCAUCGAAGGGAGAAAAAAAAUUUUUAUAUGGGCUGAGGCGAAAAGUAUUGGCUCUGUUCACAACGCCUAGAGAGAGCACGGAUACAUACUGUGUCAGUGCUUCGCGACCAGAACCGUUGAAUUUUGACCUUCAAUGCACGCGUAUAGUAUGUCCUCCGUGCGGUGAUCUCGCUUAGUCGUCAAGCACGGAUCUUGUCGAAGCGGGAUGGCUUGAGACAUUGAUAAUGCCAAGUCUGUGCCUGAGGACUUUUCAACUUUUUAUUCAACCCCGGGGUCGAGGUUGAGAUUCAUUGUCGGUGGUGUGGUGAGAUGGAUACUCUGAGUAGAGUCGUAUUGUUCGUAUGUAUGCGCCGUACGAUACAGACUAGUAUGUAUAUGGCUAGCGUAACGGAUGGGGCAUACGUCAAAGCGAGACGGGACCAACCAGAAGGCGUAAAUGGGACACUGUUUGUCUGAUCGACUGCAGCAGCAGUGCAGCUUUGGUCUUCUUGGCGUUGCCUGGUGUUACUGUGGCAGACGCUGUAUCAAAUACAUAGUUAUAAUAUGUAUGAUGACUAUGGAGUCGUAGGGUAAGAAAUAGUGUACGAGAAAUAUACUCCGUGAUCGGCGGAUCUACGUGGGUUGCAUAAGCACAUUGAACUGACAGUGUUCUACUACAGUAACAACCCUUGCUACUUCCACUACCAGUCUAAUAUCAGAUAGACCCGUCCAGCCCUGUCACCAGCAUUAAGCGACCACACUAACCCAGUUAUGGCUAGCACUGCUAGGUAGCCUACAGGCUGGUCCCACGGUCUGGCCCCUUCGCCUUUUUGUAUCGUUCCCUGUUUUGUCGGGGGCUGUCAACCUGCAUUUCCCUGUUUUGUCUUUAUCAACUCUUGUCUGGAUAUGUCUCCUGAGUCGUACAGACAGACAGACUGCAUGCAUUCCCAUCAUCAUUAUCAUCAUAUCCAUGUUGAUACCAGCAUAGAUACUAAGAAAAGGAAUCAGGUGACUUGACCGAUUGCAUGCUGCAUUCGUCUUUGUCUUCAAGUUGUUGUAUGACCCGACCACGGUUUGUCUUAUCUUGACGAGAGAGAUUCUUUGCUCAGCUCUGAUUGCAUGACAAGGCCUGCCAUGGACGGGAUUGUAUGACCAGUGUCGACAUCACAAAAGCGGUCAAGAUGAAUGGCUGUGAGUGGUUGGAUCCAUGGCUUUUGUAGGAUAGAUAUCGAGUUUUCUGAUGGGACUAUCUGCAUGUCAUGCACACUCCUUUCUGACCAUGAACGUGCGCCGACUUUGACCUUCUCAGAAGUAUGAACUUGAUGGAGUCGAGUCGUUUUACCCCAUACAGUUCCCCUUGACUCGGUAGUACUACUACUUAACUAUGGAGAAGUGAACGCCUGUGGCUCAGUGGCUGACCCUUAUCUGCGGGGCUUAUUCAGCGCAAGACCACCAAAUAGUUAUGUAUGGUGCUCUGACCAAACCCCUGUCACUAUCAAGUCCGAGCCAUCCGAAUACUCGCCUGCCUAGAUAAUAGCACAUGCAUCAAACAUAGACCAGGCCCGACAAACCCCUUCCUUUGUUUGAGGCAGGGCCUGGAGGUGUAACGGCCGUGCACAUCCCCCUCAUCUCGUCGCUUUUAGUUACUUACUCCGUAGUUAGUACUCCAAGGACCUUAAGCCAUCAUAUACCUUAAUUCCACCAUGCGAGUCCGUUGUAUAUACAUACAUGGAAUGUACAUCUAUCCCUGUCCUUAUCCCUGCCGUUUACACACGAGCAGUCAGAUUGAUGACGGGCACAUUUUGACUUUUUUUAUGUCGAACUUUGACUUCAGCCUGGACGUAGUGGAGAUGCCUACCACAACACAAUAUUCAAUAUCCAACAUGGAUACAAAGAUAUAUUAGCUAUCCCCUGUGCGGAUGUUAUCCCCAUUUGCAUUCUACAUGAAGAAGAGAGCCAUCGACGCCGCCGCACUGACUGCACCAACAAUUCAGGGUCCGGGUGUACCUGGCCUAAUCAACUCCUUCACUCGUCUAUGGCCGCUCAUAAUGGAUAUAUCGUUAUGUAGUAGUUAUGUAGACUACUUACGACGGUGGUUGCCAGCACAGACACACCUCCGCUCCACCCAUACCUCCUUAUAGUCAUAUAUCAAAUAUAGAUACAUACUAUAGAAGGCUUUGCGUUUGUUUUUUGGUAGGGAUACGAUACGAGGUGACUACUAGCUAGUAGCAACUCCACUGGCGAUCGGACUAUUUAUAUUAAACUUCGAUAUAAGUACAUAUGUUGUACAUGUACAUCAAUCAUAUAUUGAAAAUUAGAGUUUGGGGAUUGCUUUGAUGGCUUGUUUACUUCGAGACUCAAUUAAAUUUGAGCCAUGCAGUCAAUUGUUUUGGUUCAGACCGACUUUUUGUAUUAGAUGCAUUGCAAUAUGCACGCGUAGGUUCGACUGGGUCAUCUGGUGCGAUAGAUGGGAAUGCUUUGUGCGGAGGAGUUAGAUAUCUACAUUAUAGGCUCUACUGUAUUCUAUUCUAUUCUAUUUGUUCUAUGUGUAUAGAUGCAUCAAUUGUUACGCUCGGAAGCUCGUCCUACCCCUCUCUUCCAUCAGUUCGGACAGGUCAGCGAUGUACGCUUCUACACUGUCCUCGGCGUAACGCCCGGAAUUCGGAAGCAUGAAUGUCAGGGAUGGGGUGACACUGACUCAAGGAGGUCAAACAACGAUUCGAGCAGUCCUUGUGCAAGUGGCGACUAUCGGCCGAUAUGGUUAGCAGACUAUGAAGAGAGGGGGAGUUGAUCUUCCAGUGUGAAUCUAGAAAUGUUUUUUAUGCCAAAAGAAAAGAAUUGACUACAUGCCCAGCAGCCGUACCCCAGAUUAGAUGAUAUUUGGGGUGUGCAGGAUCAAGCCGGCUUGAAUCGGCAUUAACAUGUUCUACCAGUGCAUUGACAAUGAGAUGGUGGGAGGGCUUGCAUGAUUCAUCUACUUUGACUUGUAAGAAACAGCUGAUUGUAUCUUGUAUACAGAUGUAGAUUGUGGUUUUGUCAAAAGCACCAUGCUUGAGGACUUAUAGAUACCUGAGGAUACAUGAAAGCGAAACUUGCCCGAUUGGGAAGGCAAUCAUUCAAUUCGGUAAAAAUGUGGCCAUUGUGUACUAGGUAUAGGCUUCAGAAUCCGGGGUCAAAAGGAAUGAACGAUGAUCGGGAUGGUUUGUUCGUGGGACGUACUCGUAUCGGUAUAUGGAAUGGAAAUUGUACAACCUCAAGCUUCAAGAUGGCAUGUCGAUCCGACGACAUCAGACAUGAUUACACAAAA